CCUACGGGGGGCUGCAGUGGGGAAUAUUGGACAAUGGGGGCAACCCUGAUCCAGCCAUGCCGCGUGUGUGAAGAAGGCCCUCGGGUUGUAAAGCACUUUCAGUGAGGAAGAACGCCUGGUGGUUAAUACCCAUCAGGAAAGACAUCACUCACAGAAGAAGCACCGGCUAACUCCGUGCCAGCAGCCGCGGUAAUACGGAGGGUGCGAGCGUUAAUCGGAAUUACUGGGCGUAAAGCGCGCGUAGGUGGCUUGAUAAGCCGGUUGUGAAAGCCCCGGGCUCAACCUGGGAACGGCAUCCGGAACUGUCAAGCUAGAGUGCAGGAGAGGAAGAUAGAAUUCCCGGUGUAGCGGUGAAAUGCGUAGAGAUCGGGAGGAAUACCAGUGGCGAAGGCGGCCUUCUGGACUGACACUGACACUGAGGUGCGAAAGCGUGGGUAGCAAACAGGAUUAGAUACCCCAGUAGUC
rnacentral:rRNA from 1 species